rnacentral:tRNA from 1 species
CGAUCAGAGGGGAUUUUUCCCCAUCUGUGGGGUUACAACCCACCGCCUAAAAUCAGCCAUCUAACC